CCUACGGGAGGCAGCAGGGAGGAAUAUUGGUCAAUGGGCGAGAGCCUGAACCAGCCAAGUAGCGUGAAGGAUGACUGCCCUACGGGGUGUAAACUUCUGUUAUAAAGGAAUAAAGUGAGGCAAGUGUGCCAUGUUGGAUGUACUUUAUGAAUAAGGAUCGGCUAACUCCGUGCCAGCAGCCGCGGUAAUACGGAGGAUCCGAGCGUUAUCCGGAUUGAUUGGGUUUAAAGGGAGCGUAGAGGGGUUGUUAAGUCAGUUGUGAAAGUUUGCGGCUCACCCGUAAAAUUGCAAUUGAUACUGGCAGUCUUGAGUACAGUUGAGGUAGGCGGAAUUCGUGGUGUAGCGGU
rnacentral:rRNA from 1 species